CUUAAUUAGUGAUUGAUAGG
rnacentral:piRNA from 1 species